rnacentral:rRNA from 1 species
UACGUAGGGUGCGAGCGUUAAUCGGAAUUACUGGGCGUAAAGCGUGCGCAGGCGGUUCGUCAAGUCUGAUGUGAAAGCCCCGGGCUCAACCUGGGAAUGGCAUGGGAAACUGGCGAGCUGGAGUGCGGCAGAGGGGGGUGGAAUUCCGCGUGUAGCAGUGAAAUGCGUAGAGAUGCGGAGGAACACCGAUGGCGAAGGCAGCCCCCUGGGCCGACACUGACGCUCAGGCACGAAAGCGUGGGGAGCAAACGGG